rnacentral:rRNA from 1 species
AGUAAUGUCUGGGAAACUGCCUGAUGGAGGGGGAUAACUGCUGGAAACGGUAGCUAAUACCGCAUAACGUCGCAAGACCAAAGAGGGGGACCUUCGGGCCUCUUGCCAUCGGAUGUGCCCAGAUGGGAUCAGCUAGUAGGUGGGGUAACGGCUCACCUAGGCGACGAUCCCUAGCUGGUCUGAGAGGAUGACCAGCCACACUGGAACUGAGACACGGUCCAG